rnacentral:rRNA from 1 species
GAUGAACGCUGGCGGCGUGCCUAAUACAUGCAAGUCGAGCGAACGGACGAGAAGCUUGCUUCUCUGAUGUUAGCGGCGGACGGGUGAGUAACACGUGGAUAACCUACCUAUAAGACUGGGAUAACUUCGGGAAACCGGAGCUAAUACCGGAUAAUAUUUUGAACCGCAUGGUUCAAAAGUGAAAGACGGUCUUGCUGUCACUUAUAGAUGGAUCCGCGCUGCAUUAGCUAGUUGGUAAGGUAACGGCUUACCAAGGCAACGAUGCAUAGCCGACCUGAGAGGUGGACGGCCCCCGAUGCAUCGUAGCCGGGUCCCCAGCUCCGACGGGAGCCACCAUAGGGAUUUCUCCCGCAGGGGCGUAACCCUACACGGCACAGCCCCCGGGGAGAGAUGAAGGUCUCCGGCUCUAAAAACUUUUUAAUUAGGGAAAACCAUUUGUCGAAGUAACUGUAAACUUCUUGAGGGUAACUAUAAAAAGACCCCCGGCCACCUCCGUC